GUUUGUGGCUCAGUGGUUAAGCGCUUGCCUUGCAUGUGUGAGGCACUGGGUUCAAUCCUCAGCAAUAAAUA
rnacentral:tRNA from 1 species